UACCUGGUUGAUUCUGCCAGUAGUCAUAUGCUUGUCUCAAAGAUUAAGCCAUGCAUGUCUAAGUAUAAGCAAUUUAUACCGUGAAACUGCGAAUGGCUCAUUAAAUCAGUUAUCGUUUAUUUGAUAGUACCUUACUACUUGGAUAACCGUGGUAAUUCUAGAGCUAAUACAUGCUAAAAGCCCCGACUUCGGAAGGGGUGUAUUUAUUAGAUAAAAAACCAAUGCCCUCCGGGGCUCCUUGGUGAUUCAUAAUAACUUAACGAAUCGCAUGGCCUUGUGCCGGCGAUGGUUCAUUCAAAUUUCUGCCCUAUCAACUUUCGAUGGUAGUAUAUGGGACUACCAUGGUUUCAACGGGUAACGGGGAAUUAGGGUUCUAUUCCGGAGAGGGAGCCUGAGAAACGGCUACCACAUCCAAGGAAGGCAGCAGGCGCGCAAAUACC
rnacentral:ncRNA from 1 species